CUGCUUCACCAGCAAGACCAAUGUUAGGCCACUGUUAUCUUUAAAUGGAAACAGAGGAGGUGCUGCUAACUCUCAACCCUUCUCUUUGAAGAUCACAGUGCAGGAGUUGUGGUGUUCAUAACAAGAACCCUCAUCUCUGAUCAAUGUUGACUUGGGAGUGGAGGGAAGAAGGGACUCAAUUGAAUAAAGCCAUAAGGUAUAGUGCUGGGACGGACAGAAAAACAUGAGAACCUCCAUGUUCAGCUCCCACAAAUCACCAGAGGGGCCAUCAGGACUGUACAGAUGUGCUUUUGUGUGCCACAGGCUGCAGGACUUCCCUCGGCUCUGAGCUGAAUCCACUGGAGUGCCUCACACCUUCCGUCCUUGGAUUAAGUUGCCCGUUAGUACCUCUCGUUCCACUUGCAGAGAACCUGAUUCUUUUACUGUUUCUCAGUGAAGUGGCUUUAACUCGAGAACUGAGAGAGAAGGAAUGCCAGGGGUUACAGUGAGUCUGGUCCUUAUACCCAACAUAAUCCUCUGUUCCUACUGAAGUUUUGGGUGAAUUGCCUGCCUUUUAGACCAGCCAUGCAUUACUUGGAAAUGACAAAGACAGAGAGGACAGACAAAUCCACUACAUGACUGUAGUGCAUUGGAAAAGAAUCAAGGCAAGACUUAAAGAUUGUUUACUGAUUACUGCUGGGGUCCAAAAUAUUUUCAGUACCUAUUUGAGAGUCUAUUAUCAGACCUGCGAGGUGGAUUUCUACAUUAUUUAAAAUCUGUAUCUUCAGAGAGCUAAUAAAUAACUAAUAUCUGAUGUCAUCCUCCCAGGAAGCCUCGUGCCCCUUUUUAUAAUGGGGAUCUCCCUCUCCAGAAGAGACAUCAAGUAG
ensembl:lncRNA